rnacentral:snRNA from 1 species
GCACUGCCCCAGACCACACUGCAUGCAUUACAGUAGGAACAAAACAGAAAAGAUGAACUCGGUCCCCAUGCAAGGAUGGCGUGUGAUUGUGUGGGGCACCCCAUAUUUUA